UCCUAGCACUCAGGAGGCUGAAGUAUUAGC
rnacentral:piRNA from 2 species